AACGAACGCACCAUUAUACAGAAACUGUGCAGCCGACGCUCUUGAAACGAACGCACCAUGAUUGAGCGAGCUGCGAGCUGUCAAACUUUUUCUCUCGCGCGUGUUCAUUCAUGUUUCGUGUUGGCCGUGUUGGCUGCAGUUUCGAAUCGAAAUCAAGUUUUACUCGCGUGUGCUUAUGAAAAAUAACUUCCGUCAUCAAAUCCGCCGGGUGAACGAACCGGAACAUCUCCGGGAUGGCGGAUUUUUCUCACAUUUGGGUAAGUUUUUGGAGUUUUAUUAAUUUUGGAGAGGGCGGAAUCCCCCUGAAGCAACAGCAGGUUGUUGCCAUGACCUGCUUCGAAAAAUUGUCAAGCUAUUUUUUUGUAUUAUUUGUGUCUUUCAGUGGGCGUGUGGAGCUGUUCGGUUACGGGACAAAACCCGCAGUGGAAACGCAGACCCGGCGCAUACUGCGGACAUUUCCGGCCACCGUCAAUAAUCCAUUCCGAAUGAAAGAUGCCAAGUGCUCGAUCUGGAAAAGCUACGAGGAGUUCGAACAUCUUCGUAGUCUACUACUUCCAACGCGGAUGCUCGUAGACGUGAAAUGCGGACAUUCCAGUUUGCCAUCAUAUUUCCUUUCUUGGUGGCAACGUUAACUCCUGAAGCAGCAGGACAUUUGAAGAUGAGUGGGCUCUCGACAAAACGGAGCUUUUGGCCGACAGCUUGAAGCGGAAUUACGAAAGAAAACGUCGGAAGGAGCCCAACGACAGUUUCAACUCGACCGCGACCGUGAAGGAAACCCUUCCUGAAUGGCGAGAUGCUGGACGGACUUCUCGUGACGAAAAUCCUGACGGGAGUUGUGAGUGAUGAGUAAUAAGAAAAGCUUGCUUUGUUUCUAAUAAAUUGUUUCAUUUCUGAAGUUCAAUUUAAAAAAAAACAGUGUAAAUGAAACUAAAAUAAAAUAAAACAUACUUUUAAUUUAAGGAAAAUACCGUA